UUUCACCUGGACUGUAAGAAGUAGCCCCAUUUCAGAGACUGAAAAUGUGAGGGGGGGAAGCUCAUUUCAGAACCAAUAAAAUACCGUAUGUAAAAUUUCCCUGAAAUUUGCCAGCUUCCUAUCUGCUGGUCUCUUUAUCCAGGAUUCACCUUGUGUCGAUUACCGCUCUGAUGGCAGAAGAUCGAAAUCUUGGGGCCGCCAGCCCACAAUACCCGAAUUCAAGAACCACAGGGAUCUCCCGCUGCCUGUCUGGAGUCCUCAGCUGGGGGCAGGGAAUCAACAAAGAGCAGAACCACCAGCUUAAGACAAAACCAACAACUGGAACCCAACGCUAUGUACGACACCUUGUAAGCGAGGAGACGACAGAACCCACAAGCUCCUAAGAGCAAACAGCGAUGCCCCUCGCUAUGGACAGUGUCCUGAAGCCAUGAAAUGCCCCCCAGGGUGCUUGGGAGGCACCAGCCAUUCAGACAGUGAACCCACCAAUGCACAGGAGUGUGCUUGGGACACAGUAAGUAGUACGAGUGAAUCAUCAUUUUUCACAGCUACACUCAAAAACUGAAAACAUAAAAACAAAACCGAAUACGUAUUAUGUUCAUAUCACCUACUUUAAAAAUUAAGAUAAUAAAACCCAAAUCUUAAAUACUCAAA